rnacentral:rRNA from 1 species
UGGCGGACGGGUGAGUAACACGUGAGCAACCUGCCUAUCAGAGGGGGAUAACGAUUGGAAACGAUCGCUAAUACCGCAUGACAUAGCGGAAUCGCAUGGUUCUGUUAUCAAAGAUUUUAUCGCUGAUAGAUGGGCUCGCGUCCGAUUAGAUAGUUGGUGGGGUAACGGCCUACCAAGUCGACGAUCGGUAGCCGGACUGAGAGGUCGAACGGCCACAUUGGGACUGAGACACGGCCCAGACUCCUACGGGAGGCAGCAGCGGGGGAUAUUGCACAAUGGGGGAAACCCUGAUGCAGCGACGCCGCGUGAGGGAAGACGGUCCUCUGGAUUGUAAACCUCUGUCUUCGGGGACGAAACGAGACGGUACCCGAGGAGGAAGCCACGGCUAACUACGUGCCAGCAGCCGCGGUAAUACGUAGGUGGCAAGCGUUGUCCGGAAUUACUGGGUGUAAAGGGAGCGUAGGCGGGCAGGCAAGUCAGGCGUGAAAUAUAUCGGCUCAACCGGUAACGGCGCUUGAAACUGCAGGUCUUGAGUGAA